rnacentral:rRNA from 4 species
UUGACCUCGGAUCAGGUAGGGAUACCCGCUGAACUUAAGCAUAUCAAUAAGCGGAGGAAAAGAAACCAACAGGGAUUGCCUCAGUAACGGCGAGUGAAGCGGCAAGAGCUCAAAUUUGAAAGCUGGCCCCCUCGGGGUCCGCAUUGUAAUUUGCAGAGGAUGCUUCGGGAGCGGCCCCCAUCUAAGUGCCCUGGAACGGGCCGUCAUAGAGGGUGAGAAUCCCGUCUGGGAUGGGGUGUCCGCGCCCGUGUGAAGCUCCUUCGACGAGUCGAGUUGUUUGGGAAUGCAGCUCUAAAUGGGUGGUAAAUUUCAUCUAAAGCUAAAUACUGGCCGGAGACCGAUAGCGCACAAGUAGAGUGAUCGAAAGAUGAAAAGCACUUUGAAAAGAGAGUUAAACAGCACGUGAAAUUGUUGAAAGGGAAGCGCUUGCGACCAGACUCGCUCGCGGGGUUCAGCCGGCAUUCGUGCCGGUGUACUUCCCCGCGAGCGGGCCAGCGUCGGUUUGGGCGGCCGGUCAAAGGCCCUCGGAAUGUAACGCCCCCCGGGGCGUCUUAUAGCCGAGGGUGCCAUGCGGCCAGCCCGGACCGAGGAACGCGCUUCGGCUCGGACGCUGGCAUAAUGGUCGUAAGCGACC